rnacentral:rRNA from 1 species
UACGGGGGGGGGCGAGCGUUGUCCGAAGUUACUGGGCGUAAAGCGCGUGUAGGCGGGUUGUUAAGUCCGCUGUGAAAGCCCGGUGCUCAACGCCGGAGGGUCGGUGGAUACUGGCAGUCUUGAAGUGGCUAGGGGGAAAUGGAAUUACCGGUGUAGCGGUGAAAUGCGUAGAUAUCGGUAGGAACACCAGUGGCGAAGGCGGUUUCCUGGAGCUAACUUGACGCUGAGACGCGAAAGCUGGGGGAGCAAACGGG